rnacentral:rRNA from 1 species
AUUGAACGCUGGCGGCAGGCCUAACACAUGCAAGUCGAGCGGAUGAAGGGAGCUUGCUCCUGGAUUCAGCGGAGGACGGGUGAGUAAUGCCUAGGAAUCUGCCUGGUAGUGGGGGAUAACGUCCGGAAACGGGCGCUAAUACCGCAUACGUCCUGAGGGAGAAAGUGGGGGAUCUUCGGACCUCACGCUAUCAGAUGAGCCUAGGUCGGAUUAGCUAGUUGGUGGGGUAAAGGCCUACCAAGGCGACGAUCCGUAACUGGUCUGAGAGGAUGAUCAGUCACACUGGAACUGAGACACGGUCCAGACUCCUACGGGAGGCAGCAGUGGGGAAUAUUGGACAAUGGGCGAAAGCCUGAUCCAGCCAUGCCGCGUGUGUGAAGAAGGUCUUCGGAUUGUAAAGCACUUUAAGUUGGGAGGAAGGGCAGUAAGUUAAUACCUUGCUGUUUUGACGUUACCAACAGAAUAAGCACCGGCUAACUUCGUG